rnacentral:rRNA from 1 species
UACGAAGGGGGCUAGCGUUGUUCGGAUUUACUGGGCGUAAAGCGCGUGUAGGCGGGUCGUUAAGUUGGGGGUGAAAUCCCGAGGCUCAACCUCGGAACUGCCUUCAAAACUGGCGACCUGGAGCAAGAUAGAGGCGAGUGGAAUUCCGAGUGUAGAGGUGAAAUUCGUAGAUAUUCGGAGGAACACCAGUGGCGAAGGCGACUCGCUGGAUCUUUGCUGACGCUGAGACGCGAAAGCGUGGGGAGCAAACAGG